AUGCAGUACAUGCGUGCGACUCUCGCCCUUCCUCACGUGGAGCAGUUCACGAUGCCAUACUACCACUUCGUCCUAUGCCUCUUCUGGGCUCUCCUCUACCACGCCGUCCUACGCGCUCUUUCUGCCGCCGCCAAGCAGCCCCGGCCGAGGCUGCCACCCGGUCCGUGGCAGCUUCCGAUCAUCGGCAGCCUGCACCACCUGUUGCGCGGGCUCCCACACCGCACCAUCCGCGAUCUCUCCCUCCGGCAUGGCCCGCUCAUGCAGCUCCGGGUGUGCGAGCGCGUGGCCAUCGUCGUCUCCUCCGCCGAGGCCGUGAGGGAGAUAUACAAGGGCAACGAGGCCAACUUCUCGGAGCGGCUCAGCAGCCCGGGCAUCGACGAGCUCUCAAGGCAUGGCCAGGGGAUUAUCUUCGCGCCAUACGGCGACCACUGGCGCUUGCUUCGCCGGAUCCUCAUGACGGAGCUGCUCAGCGCGCGGCGCGUCGAGGCGUUCCGGCGGAUCCGCGAGGAGGAGGCGGCUCGCCUCGUCUCGUCGCUUCAGGCGAUGUCCGAUGGCCGGCUAGUGAACAUCGACGAGCGGCUCGACGAGUUCAUGACAGACUCGGCUGUGCGCGCCAUCUUCGGUGACAAGCUGCCGGACAGAGUCGCGUUCAUGAAGAACGUUAAGCAAGGAGUGGACCUGUCGUCGCUGUUCGACCUCCGGGACCUCUUCCCUUCGUCGCGGCUAGUUCGGCUGCUGCCGCGCAAUGGUGGCAAGGCGGAGCGGCACCGUCAAGAGAUGUUCCGGCUCAUGGACAACAUACUUAGGAGUCACGAGGAGAGAAGGGCAGCCAGAGAUGGAGACGACGAACAGGACAUGGUCGACGUGUUGCUGAGGAUCCAGAAAGAAGGCAAUAUGCGAGUUUCCCUAACCGACGGAGUCAUAAGGGCACUGCUCAUAGAUGUCUUCGGUGCAGCACUUGACACCUCAAUUACUACUUUGCAAUGGGCGAUGGUUGAACUGAUGGCGAACCCAAGCGUGAUGCAGAGGGUGCAAUCUGAGAUAGACUGUGUCCUCGCCGGACAGGCCGCGGUACAAGAGGCUUCCCUAAAAGGCAUGCAAUACCUGAGGGCAAUUAUUAAAGAGACCUUGCGACUGCAUCCUCCUGCUCCGUUCUUUCCUAGAUUGUGCAUGCAAGACUAUAAGAUUCAAGGAUACGAUGUACCACAAGGAGCGAUUCUGCUAACCAACAUAUGGGCAAUCUCUAGGGACCCAAAGUAUUGGGAUGAGCCACAGAAGUUCAUGCCAGAGAGGUUCGAAGGCGUGGGUGUUGCUGACUUUAGAGGUGCGGACUUCGAGUUCACUCCUUUCGGUGUUGGGCGGAGGAUUUGCCCUGGGAUCAACUUUGCGUAUGCGGACAUUGAGAUUGCGUUGGCUAGCCUUCUUUACCAUUUUGACUGGGAGCUGCCUCCCAGAGUUGACCCAAGGAAAAUAGACAUGACAGAGGUGUUUGGAGCAACUGUUCGAAGGAAGGCCGAGCUAUUUUUGUGCCCCAUUCGUCGUGUCCCCCUCUAUAAAUGA
rnacentral:rRNA from 1 species